GAUUGCACGAGGUAUUGGUGCGGUUCAAUGAGAAAGCGAUCAAGGGUAUUUCUUUACCCUACUUUUUGAUUGAGCCGUGCCAAUAUCACGUGUUAAUGG
rnacentral:pre_miRNA from 1 species